UACGUAGGGUGCGAGCGUUGUCCGGAAUUACUGGGCGUAAAGAGUUCGUAGGCGGUUUGUCGCGUCGUUUGUGAAAACCCGGGGCUCAACUUCGGGCUUGCAGGCGAUACGGGCAGACUUGAGUGUUUCAGGGGAGACUGGAAUUCCUGGUGUAGCGGUGAAAUGCGCAGAUAUCAGGAGGAACACCGGUGGCGAAGGCGGGUCUCUGGGCCGAUACUGACGCUGAGGAGCGAAAGCAUGGGUAGCGAACAGG
rnacentral:rRNA from 1 species